CAAAAUCUUGUCAGUGGGUGAUUGUCAAGCAAAUAACUGUCGGUCUCACGGGAGAAAAAGGUGUAGAUUCACGCGCAGAGCACGGCAGAUGUUUAUUACGCCUUCGCAGGAGGCAGGAAUCGUGGUCACAGGCAAGCAAUUGUCAAACACAGAUGUGGGUGAUUUGCCUGAUCCCUCAGUCCCAGGCCUACCAGAAGGGUAUCCUUUUUGUGGAGCAAUUCAGCUGUGCCACAUGUUUUGACUGACGCAGUCCUGAAACAAGAGAUCAACGCAUCAAUUCUUGGACUCAAACAGCAGCUGGAGGAUGUAUGCAACGGCCUGAGAGAGAUUAAUCAAUCAUUGAAAGAACUUGUUGAUUGUGUCAAACAUGUGAGACAAUAAAUUCUGGUGCAAUGUAAAUGUGUUUUCCUUGUCAAUUUGAUUACAAUAUUUGGAAGAACAGAUAUCUAAAACUGUUGUAUGAUAUUGACUCUUGUCCUCAGUGCCAGAGCUAUGGGUGGUGGAAAAAACUCCCUGUCAGGCAUGGGCUCAUCGGGUCUGGGUGGAUGAUUCAGUGGAAUGCCAUUUUUGAUUGCAAUGUUGUGGAAUACACUCCAAGCCUUGACAAUGUAGCAAGCCUAAAAAGGAAUUUGCACAUUGUAUUACAUUCACGUAAUGGCAUUUGAAGGAAUGUCAUUUCAGAGGCAAACCUUGCUAGGCUAGUAUUGCAGUGUGCCUCCUGUCCCAGACAAGCACAACGCCCUUUCAGCAGGCCUAUGGUGCGCUGCACUGUUGUUCUUGUGCUUGCGUGGGCUUCGUUGUACCUUGACUCUUGUUGGUUUGAGGAGUUUGUGAGGGGAGUCAUCAGCCAUGUUUUUAACGGGUAACUCCGGUCUCCUGCAGUUAUGAAACACACCAUUCAGAUAUUGUUU
rnacentral:lncRNA from 1 species